GACGAACGCUGGCGGCGUGCUUAACACAUGCAAGUCGAACGGAAAGGCCCUGCUUUUGUGGGGUGCUCGAGUGGCGAACGGGUGAGUAACACGUGAGUAACCUGCCCUUGACUUUGGGAUAACUUCAGGAAACUGGGGCUAAUACCGGAUAGGAGCUCCUGCUGCAUGGUGGGGGUUGGAAAGUUUCGGCGGUUGGGGCUGGACUCGCGGCUUCUCCGCUUGUUGGUGGGGUAGUGGCUUACCAAGGCUUUGACGGGUAGCCGGCCUGAGAGGGGGACCGGCCACAUUGGGACUGAGAGACGGCCCAGACUCCUACGGGAGGCAGCAGUCGGGAAUAUGGCGCAAUGGGCGGAAGUCUGAUGCAGCAACGCCGCGUGCGGGAUGACGGCCUUCGGGGUGUAAACCGCUUUCGCCUGUGACGAAGCGUGAGUGACGGUAAUGGGUAAAGAAGCACCGGCUAACUACGUG
rnacentral:rRNA from 1 species